ensembl:snRNA U6 U6 spliceosomal RNA
CUGCUCACUUCAGCAGCACCUAUACUAAAACUGGAACAACACAGAGUUUAGCAUGGCCUCUGCACAAGGAUGACACAAAAAUUCAUGAAGUGUUCUGUAUUUUU